AGUGAGAGUACAGAUUCGGAGUCUGAGGUGGGAGGUUUUACAUGAGAGACUCGAGGAGAUGGGUACACUGCAUUGAUAUCUUCCACGUUGUGCGCGAAAACCACACGAUCCCUCCCCGAUAUUACGCAGUCUAUUUAAACGCAACAUCCACACACCCAUUCCAUUUCUCACCACUUUGGUCGUCUCACCUGCACUCGCGGUGUUCAGGAGAGGAAUCCAGUGAUGGAUCAGGACAAGUACCUGCCAGAGCUCAUUGCCGAGAAGGAGAGCUUGGACCCGUCGUUCGUGCACGCGAUGCGCCUUCUCGCUGAAGAGAUUGAAAAGUUCGAAGGAGACGAGUUGAGAAAAGAUGGCGAGGUGAAGAAAUACUUGGAUAUCAUCAGCAACAAAAACAUCAAACUGUCAGAGCGCGUGCUGAUCCCGGUGCAGCAGUAUCCUAAGUUUAAUUUUGUUGGGAAACUGCUGGGGCCCAGGGGCAAUUCCAUGAAAAGAUUACAAGAGGAAACGGGAGCAAAGAUGUCCAUCCUCGGCAAGGGUUCAAUGAGGGAUAAAGGGAAGGAGGAAGAGCUGAGGAAAAGUGGAGAGGCGAAAUACGCCCAUUUGAGCAACGAUCUUCAUGUUUUAAUUGAAGUUUUCGCACCACCUGGAGAAGCCUAUUCCCGCAUGAGCCAUGCCCUGGAGGAGAUUAAGAAAUUCCUUGUUCCAGAUUACAAUGAUGAGAUCAGGCAGGAGCAACUUCGUGAGCUCUCCUACUUAAAUGGCUCAGAUGAGACCAGCCGAGGAAGAACCGCACGAGGACGAGGCUUACGUCUGACCUCCACAGCAUCCACCCGAGGUCGAGGGGGGGCAGCUCCACCCCCUCCACCUGGACGAGGAGCAGCAGCAGCACCCAGAGGAACUGUGGGUACACGCACCUCCAUCCCCACACCCACACUAGCCAGGGGAGUGUCUGCACCCAGGGCCAGAGGAACUACAGGGACCUCUGGAUACAGAGCCCCAAUACUGCAGGCCACGCACAAAUCAUAUGAUGACUAUGGAUAUGAUGAUGGUUAUGAUGGGGAAUAUGAUGACCAGAGUUAUGAGGGCUAUGAUGACAACUACAGCAACAAGUCGAAAAGUGGCUCAGAAUAUUAUGAAUAUGGACACGGUAAUAAUGAUGAAGCCUACAACAAUUAUGCAGAAGAAGACUGGAUAUCAUCGCGGCCCAACCUCAAAGCUCCAGCAUCAAGACUUACUCGAGGGGGCUACAGAGAUCACCCCUAUGGUGCCAGUCUCUCUGUGAGCUGAGAUGCAGUGGAUUGAAUCAGACUGGGCGCUUUGCAGUCGAUAUGUGGAGCAUACUGAUAAAACCAAUCAGUGAGAAGUGAGAAGUGAGGGGGAAAUGCUUAUAAACAGUGUGUGCAGAUGCUGUAUGCCAGUGUUGAGAACCCAUUUCCAUGGAUCUGAACAGAGCUGAUCUUGACAGAACAUCACUGCAGGGCACAGAUGACCACUGCGUAUCCAUCUUGUCUAAAUGAAAUCUGAACAGUGUCAUAUGAGAUGGACCUCACCCUGGAUUGGCUUAUUCAGAUCACAUAGAAGGUCCAAGCAGAUACAUUUCUUAAGCUGUAUCACAUCCCGUUUGAAUUCUUCAGAGACCCAUAAAUUCAAUAUUGCAUUAUGGUGGUCAGAAGGCAUGCCACAUAUUGUGGUAUA